ACUAGACCACACGGGGGGGGGCAGUAUAGAGGGGAAUCAGGCUAGAGCUCUUCUGGCCCCAUUUCUCUAUGAUUCUACGCGUGGGAUGGUUUGGACAGGACUGAUCCCGCCUCAGGCGGGGUUGGACCAGAUGUGACCUCUGGAAGUCCCUUCCGGCCCCAUUCUCCAUGACUCUAUGGCUAUGAACUCUAUGAUCUAUGGAGGUCCCUCCCACCCCACUUCUCCGCGACUCUAUGGUUAUGAACUCUAUGAUUUCUGGAGGUCCCUCCUGGCCCCGCUUCUCCAUGAUCCUCUGAACACCGACAGAAACGUAUGCGGUUGUUCCUACCCCCAUCACUCUGGGUGCACCGAGGGUGUUGAAACGGGCAGCUGAGGCAAAUAUAAAGCCCCCAGAGCUAUUGUUUCCUCUCCUCCCGCGGUCGGGGCCCGCCUCUCCCAUGAGCACGGCCUGGAGGAUCGCGGGGGGCGCCGCUUCCUCCCCUCUGGUGCGCCUGUGACCCGGGGGAGCAGGGGUGCGGUGCAGUGGCCAACAGAGACCACUAGGGGGUGCUAGACAGGCGCGUGCCCGUCUCGGGCUGCAGUGGCUGACUGCGACCGCUAGGGGCAUCGGGCACCAGACACGGGAUGCGAUGCGGGAGCCCUUAUGAACCUGGGGUACGAAGCUGGGGGUGGGAGCGGCCCAGCUGCCCCCUCCAGGGGCAAUGCCAUCCCCGCGGGGGCGGGGGACGGGGCUCAGAUCUGGCACUUGAGGGCUGUGCGGGCAGCCGUGAUGAGCCACAGCUGCCCCGGGUUGUAGGUCACGUGCUUGACCAGGGCCCCAGUGCUGCGGGGUGGGAUCCAGGAGAUGCCAUCCCUGCCAACACGGAAGGGGGCGGCGUGAGGGCCCGGGGCAUCGUCUGCCCCCGCUGCUGCCCCUCCUCGCCCCCCACUUGGCCUUGAGCCUGGGGGCAUAGGCCAAGGGCAGCUAGGGGCCCACCCAGGAUCCCACACGAUGGGGUCCCCUGUAGCCUGACCCUAAGCAGCCUCUGCCCAGUCCUCCAUGAGGUCUGUGACCCCUUGUCUCCACUCAAGCUUGCCCUCCACCCCCACAGGGGGCAUUAGGGUACCUCUGUACCCCCUGCACAGCCCCACACAGGUCAUUAGGGUCCCCAUGUGCCCCCCCCCCCACAUUGGGGUCCCCCCCACCCAUUAGAGUCUACCUAUAAGCCCCCAUUGCCCCCUUGCCCAGCCCUGCAGGGGCUAUUAGGGGCCCUCCCAUGCCUGUGCCCAGCCCCAUACUAGCAGUAGACGUUGCCCUGGCUGUUCACCCCAUAGACGUGGCUGUCGGUGCCAAUCUCCACCAUCGUCAGCUCCCCGGGCACGUGCUGUCAGUAGGUCCCGGCGCAUGCGUCGGGCCAAGUGCUGUGGCAGAAAUAGACAACAUGGGCCACAUUGACCCCCCCCAACAGCCUCACCAGCUGCACCUGGUGUAGAUGAGCUUCCCGUCCAUGCUGGUCCAGGGCACUGUGGCCCCCCUGCCCGCAUCUCGAUGACCGUGGGGUGGGACAGGCACUGGACAUCAUCCGACAACAUGGGCCCCACCACGAAUAGGUCCCUGCUGGCGUCCAGCUGCUCGGAGGAGCCUGGAGAGGGCGAGGGAAGAGGAGGAGGCAGAAGGUGGCUGGGCGGGGGUCAGGUUUCCCCUCCAGGGGGGCACUGGCUGGGGUAGGGCGGUGUCCCUUCCAUGGGUCCCCAGUACAGGCCUGAUUUGGGGGCAGUAGCUGGGGCCUGUUCCCCUCCAGCGGUCCCCGCUCUGGGGGCAUUGGCCAGCUGUUCUGCGCCCGAAGCGGAAACCCCCAUUGAUUCCCACUGGGAUCCUCCAGGGCAUUUCCAAACCUGGGAUAAGCCCCUUGAGAAAUAGUGCUUAUCCUGGGGGAGCUCAGAGACUUACCCCUGGUUCCUCAAGGGGCAUCUCUAUGGCAGGGGAGGAUGGAGCUGGGGGAGCCAUCCUGUGGGAAGCCAGGACAAGGAGGUGACAAAACCCUCUCCUGAGUGCCUGAUGGGGGGUGUGUGUACUGGCCAGGGGGAUUGCCUGUGCCAGCAGCCCAGACUCUGCGGCCGGCUGCAUCAGGGAAUGCAGCUCAGGGGAGAGAAGUGUAUUGCAGAGACGCCCGGAGGGAGCGACGGCCGGCAGCGUGUGAUGCCUGAAGCAAGCACAGAGGGACCCAAGCCAAGGAGGACCUGCCCAUGCUCCAGUGAGGGGGGCAAAGUGGUGGCUAUUCCUCUCAAGGCAUCGCCCCAGGCUGCUAAGUGUGCAGAGGGCCAUCGUAUUCAUCCUGGUGUAUAAAAGUUAUUGACUGGAUGUAUACCUUCCUGGGCGCAAGUCAAGGGGCUGCUUUGGACCUGAUUCUCUAAGUGGGGUGCUGUGAGAUCCUUGAGGGGUGCCACAAAAGAGCAUUGCCGUCUGGCGUGCAAAUGCUGGCCUGUGGUUCACAAGAUCAACGCACAGGCGGUUAGGAGGAACCGAGAGCGGCUGAAACCUCCUGCCUUGCUGUGGGUCUUUGCCCCAGAAGACUUGCUCGGCUCUUUUUCUGUGCUCAAGGGAAAAAAAGAGGAGAAACUCGCAGCACAAAUCCCGCCCCUCCCAAAAUCAGCGCUGGUUUUUGGACUCAGGCUAGUAGGAGGCUCCAGACCCCUUUGGCUUUGCUGGAGCACUGUGAUGCGGCCUCCAGCCCCCGACAGCUUCCAGCUGACCGUGGUUGCACUGCUCUGUGGGCUCACCACAGCCCAGAGGAACGUCACCGCUUGGGUUGGAGACAACAUUACCCUACCUUGCUGCUUCCCUUCCCAGCCCAAUAUAAGUAUACAGCACCUGACACUCACCUGGCAGAAGAGGUGGGCGCAGGGAAGCGACUGGGUGGUUCACAGCUUCUAUUACGGGAAGGACCAGCUGGAUGUUCAGAACCCGGCAUAUCGAGGCCGGACGCGGCUGGACUCAGCGGGGCUGGCCCAGGGAGAUGGAGCGCUGAUGCUGCGGGGCAUCCUCGAGGAGGACAGGGGCGUCUAUCAGUGCCACGUCACCACGGAGCUGGGCAGGACGUCAGAGAUAAUUCAGUUAACUGUGUCUGUGGACUUAAGAGACGCAGAAAGACCCACAUCAGGCUCCAUCAGUGCCCAGCAGAGACCGGGCAGGAUCUUCCUAGUUGGCAUCUUCCUCCUGCUCACCCUACAGACUUUUUUGUUGUAGGCAGGGCAAUACACCUGUCCUGUCCUGCCUACACCAGACAGAGGCUCAAAUUCUUCAGUACAAUUUGACAUAAGUUUUCAUCGGCAGCAACCUACUGGGCUGGCUAACUGGCAGAUACCUGCCACAAGUGACUUGGGCAGCCUCUGUGCCUGGCAUGCAGCAGAUCAAGUAGGACGAUAGGGCACGGAGCGGAAAGCAGAGCUACAGAUUAGGCAGGGGAAGGGGAUGGGGGUGGCAUUUGGGGAGGGUGUGGGGCUAAUUUGUGGCAUGUCUGCCAAAAAGGUUGUUCCCCACUGUCCUACGUGGUCAGAUGCUAGAAGUGAAUGGGCAGAGAGAAACGACUGCAUGGGCAAGGGCAAGGGAUGGGGGAAGGGGGCGCUGCUAAGAGAGGUGUUAACUGGCUUGAUUAGAUUGCCUCUCUUAGCAGUGAGCUAGAUUGUCUCUGAACCAAUUACUUUCAGAAACAAAUAAUUUGAAAUCUAAUAAACCAACUUAAUUUAA